rnacentral:rRNA from 1 species
AUACGGAGGAUCCGAGCGUUAUCCGGAUUUAUUGGGUUUAAAGGGUGCGCAGGCGGGAGAUUAAGUCGGCGGUGAAAUUUUGCAGCUCAACUGUAAAAGUGCCUUCGAAACUGGUUUCCUUGAGUGUAGAUGAAGUAGGCGGAAUUUGUGGGGUAGCGGUGAAAUGCAUAGAUAUCACGAGGAAAUGCGAUUGCGCAUGCAGCUUACUAAAAUACUACUGACGCUCAGGCACGAAGGCGUGGGGAUCAAACAGGAUUAGAUACCCUUGUAGUCCACGCAGUAAACGAUGAUUACUAGCUGUUUGCGAUGCAAUGUAAGCGGCUUAGCGAAAGCGUUAAGUAAUCUCCCUGGGGAGUACGUUCGCAAGAAUGAAGCUCAAAUGAAUUGACGGGG